UACGUAGGGUGCGAGCGUUAAUCGGAAUUACUGGGCGUAAAGCGUGCGCAGGCGGCGCGUUAAGACAGGUGUGAAAGCCCCGAGCUUAACUUGGGAAUUGCGCUUGUGACUGGCGUGCUGGAGUGUGGCAGAGGGAGGUGGAAUUCCACGUGUAGCAGUGAAAUGCGCAGAUAUCGGGAGGAACACCAAUGGCGAAGGCAGCUCGCUGGGACGGUACUGACGCUGAGACGCGAAAGCGUGGGGAGCAAACAGGG
rnacentral:rRNA from 1 species